UGAAUCACAUAGCAAGUCGAACGAGACCUUCGGGUCUAGUGGCGCACGGGUGCGUAACGCGUGGGAACCUGCCUUUAGGUUCGGAAUAACUCAGAGAAAUUUGAGCUAAUACCGGAUAAUGUCUUCGGACCAAAGAUUUAUCGCCUUUAGAUGGGCCCGCGUAGGAUUAGCUAGUUGGUGGGGUAAAGGCCUA
rnacentral:rRNA from 1 species